rnacentral:rRNA from 1 species
AGUGAACGCUGGCGGUAGGCCUAACACAUGCAAGUCGAACGGCAGCACAGUAAGAGCUUGCUCUUACGGGUGGCGAGUGGCGGACGGGUGAGGAAUACAUCGGAAUCUACUUUUUCGUGGGUGAUAACGUAGGGAAACUUACGCUAAUACCGCAUACGACCUACGGGUGAAAGCAGUGGAUCUUCGGACCUUGCGCGAUUGAAUGAGCCGAUGUCGGAUUAGCUAGUUGGCGGGGUAAAGGCCCACCAAGGCGACGAUCCGUAGCUGGUCUGAGAGGAUGAUCAGCCACACUGGAACUGAGACACGGUCCAGACUCCUACGGGAGGCAGCAGUGGGGAAUAUUGGACAAUGGGCGCAAGCCUGACCCAGCCAUACCGCGUGGGUGAAGAAGGCCUUCGGGUUGUAAAGCCCUUUUGUUGGGAAAGAAAAGCAGCAGGUUAAUACCCCGCUGUUCUGACGGUACCCAAAGAAUAAGCACCGGCUAACUUCGUG